ensembl:lncRNA
AACUUCAGCUGCAGAGACUGGCAGAUGGAAACAGGACCUGUAAACUGUUCAGUGUCAUCAGACGAGCUGAUGGGUUUCUAGGAACAAACGCUGUGAGAGAUUUAUUCACACAAACAGGCGAGUCCAGAGAAAGCAGAAAACAAGAAGACGAAACAGAAAAAGAUCGUCGCACACGGCGGCUCCACGUUCAGCCUCCUGCUGCACAGAAACACUGAAGCAUCGUCUUAAAUCCACCAGCCCAGCAGGAAAUCUGAAAACUGAAAUAUUCAAGCAUCUAAAAGACACAGUUUGACCGACGUCCACGCUGCACAGCAGAAAGUCUGCAGAGCUCAGAAGAACUCCACCGUUUCACUUUGUGUUCUUCGGCAGACUUCAGACCUCGAUGAAGGCCACAGGCUGAGACACGUCGGUCUCAGUGAAACUGUUCAGUCCACCUGAACAGGAUCAGCAGGUGUGAUAAAUAAACAGUUUCCAUGUUAUUGUGAAUAAUAUCACAGCACAUUCCUGAGAAACAGACGC